rnacentral:rRNA from 1 species
CCUACGGGCGGCAGCAGUGAGGAAUAUUGGUCAAUGGCCGGAAGGCUGAACCAGCCAUGCCGCGUGAAGGUCAGUGCCCUAUGGGCGUUAAACUUCUUUUGUGCGGGAGCAAUAAUGGUCACGUGUGGCCAGACGAGAGUACCGUACGAAUAAACAUCGGCUAACUCCGUGCCAGCAGCCGCUGUAAUACGGGGGAUGCAAGCGUUAUCCGGAUUUAUUGGGGUUAAAGGGUGCGUAGGCUGUGAGGUAAGUCAGCGGUGAAAUGCCCCCGCUCAACGGGGUGAAGUGCCAUUGAUACUGGCUUGCUGGAAUGCGGAUGUCGUGGGAGGAAUGUGUGGUGUAGCGGUGAAAUGCAUAGAUAUCACACAGAACACCGAUUGCGAAGGCAUCUCACGAAUCCGCGAUUGACGCUGAUGCACGAAAGCGUGGGUAUCAAACAGGAUUAGAUACCCCUGUAGUC